rnacentral:rRNA from 1 species
AGAGUUUGAUCCUGGCUCAGGACGAACGCUGGCGGCGUGCUUAACACAUGCAAGUCGAACGAUGAAGUUCCUUCGGGAAUGGAUUAGUGGCGAACGGGUGAGAAACACGUGAGAAACCUGCCUUUCAUUCUGGGAUAACACCGGGAAACCGGUGCUAAUACCUGAUACUCCAUCUUGGCGGCAUCGCCGAGCUGGGGAAAAAUUUUGAUGAAAGAUGGUCUCGCGGCCUAUCAGCUAGUUGGUGAGGUAAAGGCUCACCAAGGCGACGACGGGUAGCCGGCCUGAGAGGGCGACCGGCCACACUGGGACUGAGACACGGCCCAGACUCCUACGGGAGGCAGCAGUAGGGAAUAUUGGGCAAUGGGCGAAAGCCUGACCCAGCGACGCCGCGUGAGGGAUGAAGGUCUUCGGAUUGUAAACCUCUUUCAGUAGGGAAGAAGCGAAAGUGACGGUACCUAAAGAAGAAGCACCGGCUAACUAUGUGCCAGCAGCCGCGGUAAUACAUAGGGUGCAAGCGUUGUCCGGAAUUAUUGGGCGUAAAGAGCUCGUAGGUCGUUUGUCGCGUCGAUUGUGAAAAUCUGAGGCUCAACCUCAGACCUGCAGUCGAUACGGGCAAACUAGAGUGUGGUAGGGGAGACUGGAAUUCCUGGUGUAGCGGUGGAAUGCGCAGAUAUCAGGAGGAACACCAAUGGCGAAGGCAGGUCUCUGGGCCAUAACUGACACUGAGGAGCGAAAGUGCGGGGAGCGAACAGGAUUAGAUACCCCGGUAGUCCGCACCGUAAACGGUGGGCACUAGUUGUGGGAACCUUCCACGGUUUCCGCGACGCAGCAAACGCAUUAAGUGCCCCGCCUGGGGAGUACGAUCGCAAGAUUAAAACUCAAAGGAAUUGACGG